UUUCUCUCCGUUUUUUUCUUUCUUCAUCUAUGGCCCAAAAAGAGAAGAAAUCAUCUCCGGGAAUUCCUUGGAGGACACGAAUUGCACUAUCCUUCGUCUCUACCGUUACCGAUUAUUCUCGCCGUCAAAACGGCACCGUUAACCGCCGGCUACUCGGGAUCUUUGGUCUCAAAACUUCUGCCAAUCCAAAUCCAGUUAACGGCGUUAAAUCCUACGACGUCACUGUAGAUUCUUCUCGCGAUCUCUGGUUUCGCCUCUUCAUUCCAACUACCGAUGAAUCUCGGAAUUUGAGUUCACUUCCAAUCAUCGUCUUCUUCCACGGUGGCGGAUUUGUGUAUCUCAGCCCGGAUACGAAGGCGUACGACGCCGUUUGCCGUCGUUUCGCGAGGAAAACCCCGGCUGUUGUUGUCUCUGUUAAUUAUCGGCUUGCUCCGGAACACAAGUAUCCUGCGCAGUAUGACGAUGGCUUUGAUGUGCUCAAGUUCCUUGACAAUGAGAAGAGCCGUGAGCUAUUGCCGGAAAAUGUCGAUUUAUCUCGCUGCUUCCUUGCCGGAGAUAGUGCCGGCGGGAACCUCGCUCAUCACGUGGCUAAGCGCGCAUCUGAAAUGACGUCCAACUUUGGCGCACUGAAGGUAAUUGGACUGGUGGCUAUACAACCCUUUUUUGGAGGAGAGGAACGAACGGAGUCAGAAUUAAAACUAG
rnacentral:misc_RNA from 1 species